rnacentral:rRNA from 1 species
GGGUAAAGCUCAAGUUUAAAACCUGUUUGUCCUAGACAAACCGGAUUGUAAACUAAGGACGUGCUAUCCAGGCUCUUUGGACCUUCAAGUCCUUUGGAAUAAGGCUUCACAGAGGGUGACAAUCCCGUAGAGGGUCUUGAAAGAGUCUAUUGCGAUGCAUGCUCCAAGAGUCAGGUUGUUUGGGAAUGCAGCCUAAAGUGGGAGGUAAAUCCCUCCUAAAGCUAAAUAUUGGCGAGAGACCGAUAGCAAACAAGUACCGUGAGGGAAAGUUGAAAAGGACUUUGAAAAGAGAGUCAAAAGUACGUGAAAUUGCUUAAAGGGAAGCGUUUGGAGCUAGUUUGGCUAGUCUGUUAUCAGCCUGAGCUUCGGCUUUGGUGUACUAUCAGGCUAUUUGCCGGCCAACUUUCAGGAUUGGAAGGAAAGCUUAGUGCUUUGGAGUCUAAAGAGACCUUUGCGGAAGCCUCUGGUGGAGCGUUGGUCUGCCUUGGCCCUUCUGAACCUAUAGUUGGCUUAAUGGCUCUAAACGGCCCGUC